AGUCUCAUUAAGUUGCCCAAUUGGUCUUGAACUUGCAAUGCUCUUGCCUCCUCAGUAGCAGAUAUUACAGAUAUAUGCUGCUAGGAACCACCCAAAAACACGAUCACGGACUUCAGAACUGUACCACAGAAGAGCCUCCGAGUUCUCCAGCUAACCCCUCCUUGGACCCUCCCCCAAACUUCGGGCCUGUUGACUUGGGUGGAGUGCCAGCCAGCCUGGUCUGGUCUAGCUCAUGGCUGAGCCCUUUGGAGCUCAGUAGCUCAGCAGUAUGGUGUCAGGACUGAUCUGGAUGCUAUCAGAUGAGUGAUUAUUUGCAUCCCCAAAGAAGAGCAUGGGACUUGGGGGACUGUCUCUCACCAGCACUCUAACUGAAUGACCUUGGAUAAGACAGCUCACCCCUCAGCCACAAACACCACAAGCUUAAUGGGAUUACAGGAAUUAAGCAUGUAGAAUUCUCAGAAAAGCGCCUGGCACUAUCUGCUGUUCCAUCAUUAUUCAACCACCAAAAGUCAGGAAUGACGAGAACCUUGACCACCCCUGCCUCAGUUGCCCGUGAAAUGUGCAGACCCAGGCCAGACCAGAUAGAGGUACAGACCAGAUGUGCACACUAGUUGGCUAUGUAGAAGACAGACCUAAGGCCCAGGAGCCAUUGCUGCUGCGCACAUGGUAUUGCCUGGAAACUCCCUCGAAGCUGGCCUCUGCUCCUGCCCUCACUAUGGCCACAGAGGGACUGACCAGCUUUCACACAGAUUUGCCUGCCAUCCCUGACAGUCUGGCUGGCAUCUGCUAGUGAGACUUGAGCGGAUGUGGUCAGGGCAGCCAGUGGGCGGGCUGGGGUGGAGGCUGUUGGCUUUAUCAUACCGGCUGAGACACUUUGCCACAUGGCUGGAUUGUGGCAAUACUAGAAAGCCUCCAAGCAGAGGAGGCUCCUGCCCACGGCAGCCAGGGCAGGUGUGUUUCCUGGGGCUAUGGUAAUUCCCUUGCCCACCCCCACUUCCACAAGUCAAAUGGCCUUUCCAGGAACCCUGGGGUGGGGUUGAGGCGGGACUCCUCCUGAUACUGCUAGCCCUGGGGCAAUGUGUGCUCUUGACCCCAGCUGGGAGCAAAGGAGGCCAGGUGUCAGGGCUGGAAGGCAGGCCCGGGUGGCUGUGACAAUUUACCCUCUAGACCCCCUCCUCCAGAUUGCUGGGACAGUCUCCCACUCACAGGGCAGUUCUGAGGACUCAAAGUUAGGGGGAGGGGGAGGCUGCAGCCAGCACUCUCAGCAGCAUGCCAAGGUGGGUGGCUCCUCUCCGCUGCCCUGGGGGUAGAGGCCACAGAGGGUGGCCCAGGGUAGCAGAGGCUCCCCAUCACUCUUGGAUUCUGCUAAAAGAUGAGCAGCCUGUGGUUACUAAAGAAUUAACUGCUGGCUCUGGCCAGGGUCCCAGAAGUGGAAGUGUGGCUGUGAGGUCUGGGAAGUCCCGCUGCCCUGGUGUGGUGAUGGGGUUCAUCUUUUCAAAGACAGAGAAGAUGCUUCCCAGGGGGCCCAUGCUAAGACAGAUGCACACCUCCAGGGAUGUCCCUUGUCCCCCCACUUCCUGAGAGUGCCGUGCUAGGUUCCAGUCUCCUAAGUUCCUGCCGGGUUUUGAGAUGGGUCAUACCUGCAUGGGAGUGCUCCAGAGAUUUGCUCAUAGACGGACCAGGAUGAGGCCAGAUGUAGGGGUGAUUAUCUGUGCUUCAACCCCAGAAGCAUCACCCCUAGCAGGCAGGAAGCAGGUGACUUCUAGGUACCUGCCCCUGCCCGGGGCGUGGCCGAGACAGGGACCCCUUAGACCUGAAAUGCUUAAAUGCUUGCUCCCUCUUGGCUACCUCAUGAUCCCAGAUGCUGGAUGCUGGUACUGCAGACCAAAUCAGAGUUCUCCAGAGAACCACGUUGGACCAGGCCUCACCUCUCCUGGAUUUCCUGUAACCAACUCCCUUUGCUUGUUGUAAAUAAACUCAAAAUAAACCCCUUUUGACUA